CUGAAUCUUAUUGCAAAUACUGUUUACUUCUAAUUUUAAAGAUCAGUAGGGUAAGAAAAAUAAUUUUCUGCCGUAAAUUUGGGAUCAAGAACUUCACUCUUGUGUUUUCUAAAAAAAAAAAACUUUCUGUACUUGUAUAGGACUGUGGUUAAUUAAGAUAGAUGUUUAGUACUGUGGAGUACAGUAUUUAUUAGGUUAAUAUCCUGGAAAGUCUGAGCCACCAGGGAAGUAAGCUGCAUUUUAAUAAAAGUUGGCCUUAACAGAACUAUUCAGCUAUGUCCUGGAAAGAAGAACUACCCUUUCAGCAAUAAAAGUAACUUGACAUAUUUCUGAAUGGCAUUAGUUUUAACAUUCAGGAAAACAAUUCACUUAACAUUGAAAGAUUUUUCUCUUCAUUCA
rnacentral:lncRNA from 1 species